rnacentral:rRNA from 1 species
GGAUCCAGACUUUGAUUCUGGCUCAGGAUGAACGCUAGCUACAGGCUUAACACAUGCAAGUCGAGGGGAAACGACAUCGAAAGCUUGCUUUUGAUGGGCGUCGACCGGCGCACGGGUGAGUAACGCGUAUCCAACCUGCCCAUCACUUGGGGAUAACCUUGCGAAAGUAAGACUAAUACCCAAUGACGUCUCUAGAAGACAUCUGAAAGGGAUUAAAGAUUUAUCGGUGAUGGAUGGGGAUGCGUCUGAUUAGCUUGUUGGCGGGGUAACGGCCCACCAAGGCUACGAUCAGUAGGGGUUCUGAGAGGAAGGUCCCCCACAUUGGAACUGAGACACGGUCCAAACUCCUACGGGAGGCAGCAGUGAGGAAUAUUGGUCAAUGGACGAGAGUCUGAACCAGCCAAGUAGCGUGCAGGAUGACGGCCCUAUGGGUUGUAAACUGCUUUUAUAAGGGAAUAAAGUGAGUCUCGUGAGACUUUUUGCAUGUACCUUAUGAAUAAGGACCGGCUAAUUCCGUGCCAGCAGCCGCGGUAAUACGGAAGGUCCGGGCGUUAUCCGGAUUUAUUGGGUUUAAAGGGAGCGUAGGCCGGAGAUUAAGCGUGUUGUGAAAUGUAGAUGCUCAACAUCUGCACUGCAGCGCGAACUGGUUUCCUUGAGUACGCACAAAGUGGGCGGAAUUCGUGGUGUAGCGGUGAAAUGCUUAGAUAUCACGAAGAACUCCGAUUGCGAAGGCAGCUCACUGGAGCGCAACUGACGCUGAAGCUCGAAAGUGCGGGUAUCGAACAGGAUUAGAUACCCUGGUAGUCCGCACGGUAAACGAUGGAUGCCCGCUGUUGGUCUGAAUAGGUCAGCGGCCAAGCGAAAGCAUUAAGCAUCCCACCUGGGGAGUACGCCGGCAACGGUGCAACUCAAAUGAAUUGACGG